UUCAUAAUCAGUGGCAGGUUUGCUCUUUAGUUCAUAAACAUUGAUUAACUAACACCUAUAACAUAUGAGUUUAAUUUUAGAGAAAGACUAGAACUCGUAAAAAUAAUUAAUAAUAUGAGUUUAAUUAUGAUGGACACUUUUUUCUCAAACAAAUUAUCAAAUCAUUUUGUCAUUCAUAUUAACAAGAUGAAACAACCAGUCUUGGUUGUCAAUUAUGACUAAAGAAAUUAUACUAUCUUCUUUCUCACUUUUCUCUUGUUUCUGACAUGUUUGACAGAACUUCUAAAUAUAUCUCCAAGCUCGCCAGACUAUUCUAUCUUCAAUGGCACUACUAAAGCUACAUCAGCAUCCACUGAUGCUACCCCUGCAUCUGGAGGAAUCAUGCAUCAGAACCAUUUUGAUGGUACCUUCACCAUUGCUGUAGUCUCUGCAAUCUACCUAUCCAUCUUCUGAAUAGGAGCUUGAACCAAUUGCCAUGACUUACUCUUAUAUCCUUUGUGUGGAACAUUAAUGCCUGUUUUUGAAUGAGAUACAAUAUGUAACAUGUAAGAUCUUGUACUGGACUUCUUUUCCAAGACUCUAUCAGGAAUUCUAACAAGAGCUAGCAUGCCACAAUUCUCUACCAACUGCUCCUGACAUUGACUCCAUUUCCUUUGGAUUCAACUGUUAGAUUUAU